rnacentral:rRNA from 1 species
CGGAGAGGGCGCAUGAGAAACGGCUACCACUUCUAAGGAAGGCAGCAGGCGCGCAAAUUACCCAAUCCUGACUCAGGGAGGUAGUGACAAGAAAUAACAAUAAACCGGCUUAUGCCGGUUUAAUUGGAAUGAGUACAAUUUAAACAUCUUAACGAGGAACAAUUGGAGGGCAAGUCUGGUGCCAGCAGCCGCGGUAAUUCCAGCUCCAAUAGCGUAUACUAAAGUUGUUGCAGUUAAAAAGCUCGUAGUUGGAUUUCUGCGGGGACGGAGCGGCCGGACGCAACUUGCGUCUCGAGCUAGCGCUUUCCCCGCAUCCUGCCGCGAACCGUGCUACCAUUAGCUUGGUGGCGCUGGGGAUCGGCUCGAUUACUUUGAGAAAAAUAGAGUGUUCAAAGCAGGCCACACGCCUUGAAUAAGUUAGCAUGGAAUAAUGACUAAGGACUUCGGUUCUAUUUUGUUGGUGUUCGGGACUGAAGUAAUGAUUGAUAGGGACAGUUGGGGCGGUCUGUAUUCCAAAGCGAGAGGUGAAAUUCUUAGACCUCCGGAAGACAAACAGCUGCGAAAGCGUUCCGCAAGGAUGUUCCCUUUGAUCAAGAACGAAAGUUGGGGGAUCGAAGACGAUCAGAUACCGUCGUAGUCUCAACUAUAAACUAUACCAGCUAGGGAUCGGUCAACGUUUAAUCAUUCGACUUGAUCGGCACCUUAUGAGAAAUCAAAGCAUCUGGGUUCCGGGGGGAGUAUGGUCGCAAGGCUGAAACUUAAAGGAAUUGACGGAAGGGCACCACCAGCCGUGGAGCCUGUGGCUUAAUUUGACUCAACACGGGAAAACUUACCAGGUCCAGACAUAGUAAGGAUUGACAGAUUGAUAGCUCUUUCUUGAUUCUGUGGGUGGUGGUGCAUGGUCGUUCUUAGUUGGUGGAGUGAUUUGUCUGGUUAAUUCCGUUAACGAACGAGACCCCAGCCUGCUAAAUAGCGCGGCUGCUUUGCUCGGUGCGAGCUUCUUAGAGGGACUAUGAUGCGCGAUAGCACAUGGAAGUUUGGGGCAAUAACAGGUCUGUGAUGCCCUUAGAUGUUCUGGGCCGCGCACGGGCUACACUGGCGCCUGCAACGAGCAUAUCAGCUGGCCCGAGAGGGUCUUGGCUAAUCUUUUGAACCGGCGCCGUGCUUGGGAUUGACCAUUGCAAUUGUUGGUCAUGCAACGAGGAAUGCCUUGUAAACGCGAGUCAUCAGCUCGCAUUGAAUACGUCCCUGCCCUUUGUACACACCGCCCGUCGCUCCUACCGAUGAAUGUUCCGAUGAAAUUUUCGGAGAGCGCCAGAGAACGGGGCUCUGCCUUGCAGAUCUGGAGGCUCAAAGUCACUUAAAUCUGAACAUUUCGAGGAAGGAGAAGUCGUAACAAGGUAACC